CGGCUGGCGGCCCCGUCGUGGAACGCCACCACGCGGUCCAGGCGGAAGGCGUGGCGGAGCAGGCGCUUGAAGUCGGCCACGGUCUCGCCGCCCGAGCGCGUGCCGUCGAUGCCCAUGGGCCGGUGGAAGGUGGAGCUGAUGACGAUGCGCGAGAAGCAGUGCACCUCCUGGUCGUUGUCCACGUCGAUGACGUCAUAG
rnacentral:rRNA from 1 species